rnacentral:rRNA from 1 species
CCUACGGGUGGCAGCAGUGAGGAAUAUUGGUCAAUGGGCGAGAGCCUGAACCAGCCAAGUCGCGUGAAGGAUGAAGGAUCUAUGGUUUGUAAACUCCUUUUAUAUGGGAAUAAAGUGAGGAACGUGUUCCAUUUUGUAUGUACCAAAUGAAUGAGAAUCGGCUAACUCCGUGCCAGCAGCCGCGGGAAUACGGAGGAGGCGAGCGUUAUCCGGAUUUUUUGGGUGUAAAGGGUGGGUAGGUGGUUGAUUAAGUCCGCGGUGAAAGUUUGGGGCUCAACCAUCGAAUUGCCGUUGAGACUGGUUGACUUGAGUAUAUGUGAGGUAGGCGGAAUGCGUGGUGUAGCGGUGAAAUGCAUAGAUAUCACGCAGAACACCGAUUGCGAAGGCGGCUUACUGGACUAUAACUGACGCUGAGGCACGAAAGCGUGGGGAGCAAACAGGAUUAGAUACCCUUGUAGUC